CCUACGGGGGGCUGCAGUGGGGAAUAUUGGACAAUGGGCGAAAGCCUGAUCCAGCAAUGCCGCGUGAGUGAUGAAGGCCUUAGGGUUGUAAAGCUCUUUUACCAGGGAUGAUAAUGACAGUACCUGGAGAAUAAGCUCCGGCUAACUCCGUGCCAGCAGCCGCGGUAAUACGGAGGGAGCUAGCGUUGUUCGGAAUUACUGGGCGUAAAGCGCGCGUAGGCGGCUAUUCAAGUCAGAGGUGAAAGCCUGGAGCUCAACUCCAGAACUGCCUUUGAAACUAGAUAGCUAGAAUCUUGGAGAGGCGAGUGGAAUUCCGAGUGUAGAGGUGAAAUUCGUAGAUAUUCGGAAGAACACCAGUGGCGAAGGCGACUCGCUGGACAAGUAUUGACGCUGAGGUGCGAAAGCGUGGGGAGCAAACAGGAUUAGAUACCCCGGUAGUC
rnacentral:rRNA from 1 species